AUGGAUGUGAGGUUCUACCCCGCGGCGGCCGGGGACCCCGGCGGCCUGGACUUCGCGCAGUGCCUGGGGUACUACGGCUACAGCAAGGUGACCGACCGGGCCGGGGCCGGGGAGCCGGGGGGCCGGGGGGCCGGGGGGCCGGGGGGCCGGGGGGCUGGGGCGGGGGCGGGGGCCACCUCCCCAUCCCGGGCGCGGGCGCGCCCCGCUCUCCAGCCCCCGCCCGCUGCACUUUUCUCUCCCGCUCCGCUCCUUUGCCUCUGCGCCCUCGUCCCUGUCCAACUCUCCCACUCCACUCUUUCUGCCCCCUUCCCCCCCCCCCUUUUUGUCCCUCUGCCGGCGCUCGGCGCUCCCUCCCCGCGCGCCCCCACCGCCAGCCCCGCCGACUCCCCUUUGCUGCCCCAAAGAAGCGAAGAGCAGCCCAAGGACCGAAGGAGGGGACACGCUUGUGAUUCUUUGUUGUUGUUAUUAGUAAACACGGUCCCAGCGCCCCUGAGUUGGGGAGGGGGGUGCGACGCAGGAGUCCCCGAUCUCGUGGUCCGACGACCUCGCCGCCCCCUCCCCCCUCCCCGCCCCUCUUACCUUCCCCGCGCACUCGAGAGCUGGACCCGGGGCCGCUCGGGGGAGGAAAGGAACAAACUUUUGAGCGUGCCCUGGAUUGGGCGGGGGGUGGGGGGGGGCGAAGUGUUGGGACCCCCGCAGGUGGCCUCUGCUGCCCUCUGGCUCGGGCGCUUCGGACCGCGGGACGGAGGUGCCGGCCCCUCCCUGGUUAGCGCGAGCGGCUUCUCAUCUUUCAUUUUUUGGGGAGGGGUAAGUUUUGCAUUUCGGGGAGAUCGGGUUUGGAGACGUCCACACCACGCGCGGGGUCACCCCACCUCCACCCGGUCCGCCCCGCCCCCAGCCCCCGCGCCAACUUCGAGGACCGCGCGUCUCAGGUGGGCGAAGGUGGGUCUCGCCGGGGCAGCGGGCGCAGCUCGGACCCGGCGAGUCGGUGCGGGAGGCGCAGCCCUGCGGCCGGGGCGGCGCGGACUCCCCUUCCCGGUCCUUCCUGAAGCCCCCGCGGCCAGGCUUUGGAGGAAACAUCACCCCGAGGGCGAUGUUCAGAGAAAGAGCUGUGCUCUGGAUGGCCUGUGCCUUUUGAAUGUGGUUUUUCUUUCUCCUUCCCCCCUGCUCCUCCCUCCCCCCCCCCCCCUUUUCUUUCAAAUCGUAGUUUGUUUAUGA
rnacentral:lncRNA from 1 species